AGACCUCAGAUCAGGUGGGACUACCCGCCGAAUUUAAGCAUAUUAGUAAGCGGAGGAAAAGAAACUAACUAGGAUUCCCUUAGUAGCUGCGAGCGAACAGGGAGAAGCCCAGCACCGAAUCCCAAAGGCCUCGCCUUUAGGGAAAUGUGGUGUUCAGGAGGGUCUGUCAUACCUGCAGUUUUCCGCCGAGUCCAAGUCCAUCUUGAACGGGGCCACGGUCCGUAGAGGGUGCCAGGCCCGUAGGCGGCCGGCGGAGUCUGCUGGUAGGCCUCUCCUUAGAGUCAGGUUGCUUGAGAGUGCAGCCCUAAGUGGGUGGUAAACUCCAUCUAAGGCUAAAUAUGACCACGAGACCGAUAGCGAACAAGUACCGUGAGGGAAAGUUGAAAAGAACUUUGAAGAGAGAGUUCAAGAGUACGUGAAACCGCUCAGGGGUAAACGGACAAGACCCAAAAUUUCGAAACGAGAGAUUCACGUCUUCACGCGGGUCCAAGCGUUCGGCUGGCGGGAUGGGCAGUUGUCCCCGUUCGGGCGACCGGGCGGCGGGGCUGCUCGCCCUCCUCAGUUCGCCGGACCGCGUAAGACCGCAUUUCUCUCUAGGUAGGACGUCGCGACCCGUUCAGCGUCGGUCUAAGGCCCCGCGUAACAAAGUCUUCCGGAGUGGCGAAAGCCAGCCCCGGAAGGACGCGGGAGCCCCCGCCGUGCGCCGGACGGUAUCAAACGGCGGUGUCGAACCGCUCUCGGAGCGUCCUCGGUGGCCCGCAAGGAGGCGACUCGGAUCUGCGACGGACCCCGGUCCGGCCGGUCCGAACGUCCGACUGCUCGCGGGUGUCUCCUCGGACCGGUUCACAACACCAGUCGGCGGCGCUUUGUUUUGGGCACUUGCCCGACCCGUCUUGAAACACGGACCAAGAAGUCUAACGUGUGCGCGAGUCACUGGGUGAAAAACCUAAAGGCGGAAUGAAAGUAAAGGAAAAGUCCUUUUCUGAGGGGAGAUGGGUGUACGUCCGCUUGYGGAGUCAUCCCGCAUUCCCGGGGCGUCUCUUUCUCAUUGCGAGUGGAGGCGCACCUAGAGCGCACACGUUGGGACCCGAAAGAUGGUGAACUAUGCCUGGCCAGGACGAAGCCAGGGGAAACCCUGGUGGAGGUCCGCAGCGAUUCUGACGUGCAAAUCGAUCGUCAGAGCUGGGUAUAGCGGCGGAAGACUAAUCGAACCAUCUAGUAGCUGGUUCCCUCCGAAGUUUCCCUCAGGAUAGCUGGCGCUCGAGUGUGACGAGUCUCACCUGGUAGAGCGAAUGAUUAGAGGCCUUGGGGUCGAAACGACCUCAACCUAUUCUCAAACUCCAAACAGAUGAGAACCCCGGCUUGCUUGAAAGUGAAGCCAAGGGCUCUGAUCAGAGUGCCAAGUGGGCCAAUUUUGGUAAGCAGAACUGGCGCUGUGGGAUGAACCAAACGCAGGGUUAAGGCGCCCGAAUCGACGCUCAUGUGAAACCAUGAAAGGCGUUGGUUGCUUAUGACAGCAGGACGGUGGCCAUGGAAGUCGGAAUCCGCUAAGGAGUGUGUAACAACUCACCUGCCGAAGCAACUAGCCCUGAAAAUGGAUGGCGCUGUAGCGUCGUGCCUAUACUCCGCCGUCAACGGCAAACCGGGCACUCCCCUCAGAGGGGGUCGCGCUGUUACGCCUUGACGAGUAGGAGGGUCGCGGCGAUGUGCGCAGAAGGGUCUGGGCGUAAGCCUGCCUGGAGCCGUCGUCGGCGCAGAUCUUGGUGGUAGUAGCAAAUACUCCAGCGAGGCCCUGGAGGACUGAUGUGGAGAAGGGUUUCUUGUGAACAGCUGUUGCACAAGAGUCAGUCGAUCCUAAGCCCUAGGAGAAAUCCGAUGUCGAUGGGCCGCCGUUAAUCGCUCCCGCGACGGAACUCCUCGCGUGGUCGCCGUCCACGCGCGCACCCCCCCGCCCCGUGCGGAGGGGGCCGCGCGCGUAAGCGGUACGCGCGAGGGUCCUAGAGAGCCGGCGCCCACCGGGCGAAAGGGAAUCCGGUUCCUAUUCCGGAACCCGGUAGCGGUAGCGUUCCAAUCCGGGCCCUCAUCCGAGAGCUCGACGGGGCAACCCGAACAGACCCGGAGACGCCGUCGGGAGAUUCGGGGAGAGUUGUCUCUUCUCUAUAAGCGUUCGAGUUCCCUGGAAACCUCUAGCAGGGAGAUAGGGUUUGGAACGCGAAGAGCACCGCAGUUACGGCGGUGUCCGAAUCGUCCCCGCGGACCUUGAAAAUCCGGGAGAGGGCCACGCGGAAUACCGCGCCGGUUCGUACCCAUAUCCGCAGCAGGUCUCCAAGGUUAAUAGCCUCUAGUCGAUAGAAUAAUGUAGGUAAGGGAAGUCGGCAAAUCCGAUCCGUAACUUCGGGAUAAGGAUUGGCUCUGAGGAUCGUGGCGAGCCGGGCUUGGUUGGGAAGCGGAGACGCGUCAACGUGCCGGGCCUGGGCGAGGUGAACGGCAUUCUCAUGCU
rnacentral:rRNA from 1 species